rnacentral:lncRNA from 1 species
CUGGAUGUAAACACCGGGCACAGUGUCCUUAUGUGGAUCGGUGUGUCUGACCCCUGGGCACCCGCUGGGGGUGCAGCUCCACCAGGCCCAGUGCUCUGGAGCUCCCGCAGACGCCACCUGCCACCACGCAUAAGCCAAGGUGAACAGGCAGCCGCAGGAAGGGCGUCCAGAUGGAUGAGUCUUGAUUUUACCUGAAGUGAGAUUGACUCCGGGCACUUUGGUAGUGUCUGGAGACAUUUUUGGCUGUCACAACUGGUGGAGAGGGUGCUGUGGCUCCAGGUAUGCUGCGAAACGUCCCACAACCCACAGGACGGGCCCCAUCACGAGGGGUGCACUGGCCUCCAAUGUCCGUAGUCCCAAGAGACGCGAAGACGCACGUCCGCGCAAGAACUUGUACACAAAUGUGCAUAGCAGCGUUAUUCACAGGAGCCAAGAAGUGAAAACAGCCCGAAAGUCCACCCGCUGACGACUCCAUAAACCACACAUGGUCUGUCCAUGCAAUGGAAUAUGACCAGCCACAAAACAGAUUCAGCACUGACACGCUACAAAGUGGACAAACCUCGAAACAUGAUGCAGAGUGAAAGACGCCAGACACCGAAGGCCACACAGUGUCCGGUCCCAUUUCUAUGGAAAGCCCAGACCAGGCGGACCCGUAGAGCUGUACAGUAGGUUGGUGUUUGCCAGGGGCCGGGGGAGAAAGGAACAGGGGGUGACUGCGCAUGGAACAGGGUUUCGUUUGUGCUUUUUUUUUUUGAGAUGGUGUUUCACUCUUGUUGCCCAGGUUGGGGUGCAAUGGUGUGAUCUCAGCUCACUGCAACCUCGGCCUCCCAGAUUCAAGCGAUUCUCCCGCCUCAGCCCCCAAGUAGCUGGGAUUACAGGCAUGCACCACCACGCUCAACUAAAUUUUUUUUUUUUUUUUUUUUUUUUAGUAGAGAUGGGGGUUUCACCAUGUUAGUCAGGCUGGUCUCAAACUCCUGACCUCAGGUGAUCCACCCACCUCAGCCUCUUCUAAGUGCUGGGAUUGCAGGUGUGCACCACUGCUCCCGGCCCUUUUUUUUUUUUUUUUUUUUUUUGGACAGGAUUUCACUCCCAUCACCCAGGCUGGAGAGCAGUGGUAUGAUCUCAGCUCACUGCAGCCUCUGCCUCCUGGGCUCAGGUGAUCCUGUUGCCUCAGGCUCCUGUGUAGCUGAGACCACAGGCACACACCACCAUGCCCAGCUAACUUGUGUAAUUUUUGUAUAGAUGGGGUCUCGACAUGUUGCCCAGGGUGAUGUUGUACUCCUAAGCUCAAGUGAUCCUCCCACCUAAGCCUCCUGAAAUGCUGGGAUCACAGGCGUGAGCCACCGCGCCUGCCUGGGUUUCCUUUUGAGGCUUGAAGAUGCUGCUGCUGCACACAUUCUUAGUCAUGUCGCCUGGGACGCACGUUCAAGAAUUCUGCCUUGGCGCACACCAAAGAGAAAAAUUACUGAGUCUUCAAGAACAGGAAAGCUCCACUUUACUGGAAAAUGUUGGCAUUAUGUUGAGUACUUGCUACUUGCACCCGGCACUGGGCUAGAUAGCGACCUAUUUUCUCAUGUAAUUGUCCCUGCACUAGUAUUCUUGGGUCCAUUUUAGAGAUGAGGAAACUGAGACUCAGAGAGGGGGAUUAACUGGCCUGGCCCAAAAGUGGCAGAACAGCCUUAAGCUCUUGGCCACUCAUCCUACAGCUCACUCCCGUCACUCCCCUUGGAGCCUGAGAGACGGUUCCCCAAACAGGCACACUGCAGGCAGCGGGGCGGGGAGGGGGCUUGGCAGAAGCCACGGACAUCCCCCCCGGCAAUGGCCUUUGAAUAAUUCACCAGCCGCUUCCAGCCCAGCCCAGUGGUAAACACUUGUUUAGAAAGUAACCAAGAGCCUCCAACAGGUUUCCCAGAAUGUGGCCUGCUGAAAUUUCUGGAACCCCUGGCAAGCCUACAUAACAAAUCCCAGCCACCUAUGCCCUCAGGUACACAGAACCGUCCACCACCCCAAUGCCUCCUGCCUGCCCUGUGUCCAAACUUCAAAAAGUGCCUGCACACCCACACAGAGAGGAAAAGCACAGCUACAGCGCAUGCAGGUCUGCAAGCCGCCAACCUGGUUCCCAGCAGAGAGGAAAAGCACAGCCACAGUGCAUGCGGGGUCUGCAAACCACCAACCUGGUUCCCAGCAGAGAGGAAUAGCACAGCCACAGCGUAUGCGGGUCUGCAAACCGCCAACCUGGUUCCCAGCAGAGAGGAAUAGCAUAGCCACAGUGUAUGCGGGUCUACAAACCGCCAACCUGGUUCCCGAUGCCAGUUUUACUGUGAACUUGCUCUGUGACCACAGGGCAGUGACCUGACCUCUCUGAGCUCCAGUCUCCUCACUUAAUAUAAGAGGGAUAUCAAGGCAACAUGCAUACAUGUCAGGCCGCAAACCCCGAUCUGCAAGAUAUAACUGAUUUUUAUUUCUUUCCAAUUGACUGGGGGCUGAUUCCAAACCCCAUCCUCCCAGGAUGAAGGAAGAUUCAGUCUCAGGAUUGGGGCUCCUCCAUGCUGGGUCGGAUCAAAGACCAAAUGUCCAUGAGGUCCCUCCAGUCACUGGUUCCCCUGGGCACCCUGGAGAGACCUGGGAUGGGGAAUGGGGACUGUGAAGUGGUCCUUUCUGGGGUGAAGGGGGCGGGCCUUGUCUGUCCUGGAACUCUUGGCUUAGGGCGCCCUCUUCCUGGUGCAGGACACAAAUUCUAGACCCCUCACCUCCAGAGCAUUGCGGCAGAACCAGGUCACCAGGCCUGCCUCACUACCUGCUCCCAGCACACGAAAAUCUCGCUCCCUCUCUCCAUUUCCCUCCAGAACCAGCAACAGCUUUCCUCGCAAGCUCAGGUGUGACCAACGUGUAGUUCUCCUGUUCUGUGGGAGUAAAACUGGCUGGGCACACGGCCACAAAGCCUGAGACCCGGAGACCUCGCUCCCCCUUCCCUUGCUUCUGCUGGAAUGUGAAUGGAAGUGUCCACACCUGCUUCACGGGCUUCUCCCUCUCCCCCUUUCUGAGAGCUGGAAUGUGGGUCUGGUUUUAACACUGCUUCAACCACGCCAUGAGGACCAUAUCCAGGCGGGAUGGACGACAGGAUGGAAGGGGCUGGGCCCCAAUUACUGUAAGGCAAAGCUCCUGGCCGUCCUGACGGCCCGCCUCCGUCAGCCCUCUUACAGUAGAGAGAAACAAGCUUCUCUCUUGCUUUAGCCAAUGUUGCAUUGGAGUUUCUCUUCUUUCUCUCUCUCUUUUUGUUUUGUUUUGUUUGUUUUUGAGACAAGGUCUUGCUCUGUCGCCCAGGCUGGAGUUCAAUGGCUCUAUCAUAGCUCACUGCCACCUUGACCUCCUGCCUCAGCCUCCCAAGUAGCUGGGACUGCUGGUGUGUGCCACCAUGCCCACGUCCAGCUAAAUUUUUUUUGUAUUUUUUGUAGAGACAGGGUCUCACUAUGUUGCCCAGGCUGGUUUCAAACUCCUGGCCUCUAGUGAUCCUCCUACCUCAACCUCCCAAAGCACUGAGAUUACAGACAUGAGCCACCGUGCCCAGCCUGGAGUUUCUUUGUUACAGCAGCUGAAUCUAUACCCUGACUAAUACAUCGAGUUUUCACAAAAGGCCAGUAUAGAUGGACUAUCUUCCAGAGGCUUCUCAUCUCUGCCCAGAAAAACAAAUAUCGAGGAAAGGGCUGGAUGUUGCCUUGGAAUUGAGGGAGGGAAAUCACAGGGUGAAUAAACACAGAUGACUAUCUCAGUAAAGAACCUGCUUACCACAGUGCCUUCCUUGGGGGGUGGUUUGAAGGACCCCCAGGGACUGAUGCAUACAAGACAGCCGGCUCCUGAGGCCUGGGGCACAGCGAGCGCCGACUGCCAGAAAACACCGUGGCCGCGGGGCGGCUGCACUGAGCCUUGUCAAUAGUGAGCACUUUGCCGUGAGCCCUGUCUGGCUUACAACCUGGCAUGUGGGCUUGGGCAAGUCAUUUCAUAGUUGCCACAAAUAAUUACCGAGCACCUACUGUAUGCCAGGCACCAAAUAAUUACUGAGCACCUACUGUAUGCCAGGCACCAAAUAAUUACUGAGCACCUACUGUAUGCCAGUUCUGGAAGCUGGAGACGAAGUGGGGAGUGAGAAAUACCUAGUCUCUGCCCUCUCUGACUCAGCUUUGACUAUCUUGAGAGGUGCCAGCCCAGGGGUUCUUUGAGUGCCAGGCUGACCAGCUUCAAUGCCCUGCAGCAGGCACUCAAGUUCACAGCAGAUGGAGUGAUGUGGCAGAGGCACAAGGAAAAUGAUUAAUCUGGCAGCGAAAAACAGAAUGGAUUCGGCUCAGAUGAUUAGCAGCCCCAGGAGGGACAAGGAAAAAAAAAAAAAAACCCUGACUCUACGAUGGCUCAGCAGAACUGCUCUCUCUAAUAAAUAAUAAUUCUCCAGCUUUCCUGCUAACAGUCACAGGCAGGAUUUCUCAUCUCUAUGCCCGUCCCCCACCAGAAGUCAGGCAUGGCCGUGUGGCUUGCCUGGGCCAAUGAGAUGUCAGCAGAAGUGAUGUAAGUUGCAUCUAAGAAGAAGCUCUAAGAAGCAGUGCACAGCCUGCCUCAAGCCCGAUGAUGCUCCACAUGGCAGAGGCCCCCUCUGCAUCCCAGAGUGAGAAGACAUGGCACAGAGCCCAUUGCCAACACACAGCAGACACAUAGCACGGGUGAGGAAACAAAGUGUGGAAGAGAUCACCAAGGUUACCCAAAGUCAAACACAGAGUAGAGGCACAGACAAGACUCAAAGACAGGUCUGCCCUUUGCUGCAACCCUCCAUUCUGAACAAACCCAGCCAAGCCCCUUACUGCUAACCACUUCAAUUAAAGCCAAUGUCAAGGCCUCCUGGUUUCUAAAUGAACAGCCCUGAUCAUGUUCGUUAAAGGCCCUGUCUGCACAGACUGCUCAUUUUAUCCGAAGCCGCCAACAAGAUAAAUGGCCCUGUAACUUAUUGUUCUGCUGCAAAGCACCUCACGGCAAGCGGCGGCACAGAUGCCAGGAAUAAAUCACAUCUGAUCUUCCGAGAGCCAGGCAGAGCGCCCACGAGGAGUGUCGGAGGCAGGGGAGGUUGGCACAGCCCUGGACCUUGGGGGUUGGAGCAGCCCUGGACCUUGGGGGGAUUCACUAAGGAGCAGAGAGCUGCAGGGGUCUUUAUUAGGGCCCCGGAGCUCUGGAGUAUACAUUGUUCUUUUUUAUCGGCCCAGCACCUAUUUCCCCUUCUUGGGGUUUAAUAGCACCCCUUUUUCUCUGGGAAAACCAUCUCUCCUCCGCUCUCAGUCUGUCUGGUUCCGAUGGGGUCAUCCCUUCUCCCAGUUACAGGGAGGAGCAUGAACACGUGACCUACCCUGGUCAAUCAGAGCUUCACAUUCUUUUGCAGCCAUGACUAGCUCAGAGCAGGCAGGUGACCCACACCAGGCUGAUGGGACCCAAACCUCAGACUUCUGCUGAAACUCUAGGAAAAAAGGAGUUCUCUCUUCUAACAGGUUGCUCACAGAAGGAACUUUUCCGUUGAAUUACCUCAGUUUCUAGCACAAUUACAGGCACAUGGUAGGUGCUUGGUAAAAAUGGGCUGGAUGAAUGAACAAUCCACCUGGAGUUAGCACAGCUGGCUUCUUGUCUGGGCGCAGCCAUCUCUAACUUCAAGACAGCUUCUUCACCUCUGCAGGUCUCAGUUUUCUUGCCUAUAAAAAGGCAUUAAUAACAGCACUUAGCAGUAGCUGAUUAUAUCAGUUAGCUAUUGCUGCCGACAUGCUGCGUAACAAAAGAUUCCCACCUGCAAUCACUCAUUAUCAUUUCCGUGUCUGCCAGUUGGCUGGGAGUCACCUGAUCCAGGCUGGGCUGGGCUGCCCACCUGUCUCUCUUCCUCUUUGGAUCAGCAAGUUAACCCAGGGCCUGUUUGUCUCACCCAGUGACAGAGGCACAGCAUAAUACAAGGUCCCUGAAGGGAUAGGGCCAAUACUAGCACAGCCUCAUUUCCAUUGCCUUCUUAUGGCCAAAGCAAGUCACAUGGCCAGACCUAAAGUCAAGAGGUGGGGAAAUGCACUCUACUUCUUUGCCACCCGGUAAAGGGCACAGAUGUGGGGGGUGGUGAGGAAUUGAGGCUGGCUGUGUACCCCCACAAUGCCAUUGUCUGUGCCUUGAUGUUGACUUGAUCCGUGUCCACCUCCUUCUCCACUAGAAUAAACCUCGGAGCACCUGGAUCUCUGUCUGCUUUGUUCACGGCUGUAUCCCAGCAUCUAGAACGGGGCCCAGGACAGAGUCAAUGCACAGCAAAUCCUUGUGGAAAGCCUGGCUAGCUGCCCCUGGCCUCCCUCUGCUGUGAGGAUUGAGCCAGGUCAGAGACCCAGACAUGGCAUUGGAAGUUAUGGAAGCCCCU